UCGACACUUUUCCCAAACUACCUUUUUCUUUUCAGCUCUCACAAUAAUCUAGAGAUGGAACCAGUGUUGGCGCGCAGUCGUUCUAGUUAAGAACUUGACUGCUUCUGGGAGUGGUUGGCUAGACAGCUCUGAGUCUAGAAUAUCAUUUAAUUAAGACCUGCGGGAGAACCCUCUUCCAAAAUAUACUUCGAAAAUAUACUUUUCUUCUUAUUAUAAAAUGAGUGAAGUGUAUGAAACAAGGAGAGUAUGAAGAAGAGAAUAAAAAUCACCUAUAACUCCCCCCACACUGAUAACAUUUGGUGUAGGUUUUGUUUAUAUCUUUCCAGUCAUUUUUCUAGCCAUAUAUACUGAACAUAAAUGAAAUCGUAUAUACCACUUAGAAUUCUUUUUUUCACUAACCCAUUACAUCUUAAGUAUUUGCUCAUAUGUAUUGUCUACAGUUCCAUUUCUAAUGACUACGCAACAUGUACGUAUGUAUAUUUUCUGUGCAUGUACAAUGCUUUAUUGACCCCAUUUCCAGCCACUGAAAUGAAGCAGUUUUAUCCAUUUCAGGCAGGGGGGCAGUAAAUAUAUUUUUGGUUAAAUGUUGGUGUGUAUUCUUGAUUAUUUCCUUAGGGACAUUUUUAGAACUAGAAUGUCCACGGUGAAGCAGAAGGAGUCUGAGGAAAAGAUCAGCAAUACCUCAAGAACAAGUUUGUCCUGCAAAGUGGGAGAAAAUACAGAUUUUUCUCACUAAUGAAAUUAAUAAUUUCUUUCUAUUUAAAAAAUUGGUAAUGACAAAUUCAAUCAGAGGUUCUUUGAAAUAAUCGAUAUGUUUUUCUCCUUGUGGGUUUCUUAACCACAAAACCUAAUCCUAAUAGGAUUAAUAUAGGCUAUUUUUUCUUUCCCAAUUGGCACAUAACUACCUAAGACUUCAUGUAAUCAGUUGAGAUGCUACAAAUGUAUUGCCUGUCAACUCCAAUAAAAAAAGAGGGCAGUUAAUUAAAAGGAUGUCUUGCUGUUAAACAAACUUGCAGUCAAUUGCUUGUAAGUAACAUUUAGUUUGAUAUGUAGUCAGAGGGCAAGAAAAUCAUUGUUCAGAAAGGACUAGCUGUUUAGAACUAUGAAAAGAGGAGUGACUUUAGUGAAGUGGAGAUGAAUGACCUAUUAGUUGGUAUGAUGUCUUCCUUUUAAAAAAUAUAUUCAGGGAGUUCCUGUCAUGGCCCAGCAGAAACGAAUAUGACUAGGAACAAUGAGGGAUUGAACCCCCAUCUUCAUGGAGCCUAGCUGGGUUCAUUAACCACUGAGCCACAAAGGGAACUCUUGGAUCUUCUUAUUGAACCUCUCCAUCAACCAAUUUCAAUUUCCUGAACUCUAACAAAUGGAUUUUUUCUUCUGUUCAGCAUCUCCUUAUUACUUUGCUUCUUCCUUGGAAUGUUUCAGCACCUUUCUAACUCAUCUGUCUCCUUUUGUCCCCGCUUCUGAUCUAUCGUAUAUAUUAACUGCCUGAUUAAUUUUCCUAGAACAUAUUAACCCUUCUCUCUCUUUCUCUCUCUCUCUCUCUCUCUCACACACACAGUUUUCCUUGGAUCUUAUUCACCUUCCAAAAGAAAUGGAAACAGUCUUUGUCAAUAAAGACAGUUAAAAGCAUGGCGCCAGCAUCCUUCUCAUCUUCUUUCAUCUCCAUGUUGGGUACCGGCCCCAACUCCAGCCAAAGUGGGUUCUGGGUUGCUCCUUUAGCCAGUCCCGUGUUCUCUGCCACUCUGGUGACCCACUCUGUCUCCCACCUGGAUUCAUUAUACAGCCUCCAUCCUCGCCACCCUUAUCAUCAGCCUCUGUACACAUCUCACUCACUGCCUUAUCUCAGAGACUUUUCUCAAUCUGAUCAACACGAUUCUUCCCUCCUUUGAAUGCACUUAGCUCUCACUGCAUUGCAUUAUGGCUAUUCUUAAAUAACUCCAUGGAUUUUUAUGAAAUGACACAUUCUUGAAAAAAAGUAAAAUUACAGAAGAGUAAGGAAAGCAAAAACCACCUGAAGUCUCUUCACCCAGAGAUAUCUCUUGAGCAUCCCCCCUCACCUCCUGUGUGGAUAGACAUUGAUCAAGUCGCAUUUUCCCAUAAAUAAACUCAAAUUUCACCUGGUUUUUUAAUUUUAUUUUUUAUGUUUUUCUUUUUAGGCCGCCCUGUUUCAUAUGGAGUUCCCAGGCCAGGGAUCAGAUACGAGCCGCAGGUGCCACCCAUGAAGCAGCUAUGGCAGUGCUGGAUCCCUGACCCACUGUGCCGGGCCCGGGUUUGAACCUAUGUCCUAGCGCUCCUAAGAUGCUGCUGAUCCCGUUGCACCACAGCGGGAACUAACCUCUUUCAAUGUUACUCAACGGAAAACUAAACUGUCAUUUUCAGGGGGUUUACCAUCAUCCAUCCACUGCUUGUUUUUUUGUUUGUUUUUGUUUUUAGCUUGCCUUCACCCCUCCAUUGGGAGGGGCAGAGGGGAGGUGGUUAUCUUGGAUUCUGGCCCACGUGCUUCAAGCAGCCGUGUGAAAUGUGACUGGGCGGCCUGUUGUGGACCUUGACAAGGACUGCUUGGGACACACUGCUCCACGUGGGUCGGGACCUGAAAACAUGUUUGGAGAUCUUGAAAAGAGGUUAGAGAGGAUUGACCUACAAUCCGGAAUAAAAUUGUAGCCUUUUUAAAAUUAUUAUUAUUACUGCUUUGAACAGUGUUGUGCUUCCGUUGCCCACAAGAAAGCCAUUCAUUGUUCCUUGUUACAUAAUCUGCAGAGAGCUUAUUCACUUAGAAAGCAGCACUUUCAUCGUCGCUUCUGUCUUACGAGGAGCUAAAAGCAGAAUCUGUUCUGCGUCUCGGAGGCAUUCUUCACAGCACAGACCUCAUGCUAUCAUUAAUUAGCCAGAGCAUUCCCAGCCAAAAACCCCAGUGCCUGGGCUUGACAAAAGCCUGUUUUCUCCAUGGAAAGGGUGAAGCCUGCCUCUCUGUCGAGGGGCACCUCGGUACGACACGCCGCCGCAGGCUGGUGGUGAGCUCUCAGAUCAGCCAACGCGGGGCAUCGCGCCACAGCCUCCAAAUGACUUGCGGUUUGCCCCCCCCCCCCCGCCCCCACUUGCUCUGUGCGGUGGGAUCUCCGUCAGACUGUGCCUUUGUGCUCUAAAUACCCAAUCACUUCGAGACCAGUCACUCCGGUGUUAUUCCGAGCGUGAUUCCCAUCCGUUUCCCAUUUGGGGCUUUAGAAACCAGUCCACCCCAACGCCCCGUGGCCAACUUCUAGCCAAGGUGUUGGUCAUGGAUGCGGUGAGCAGCCUGUGGUGGUUCACUGGGGACAUAAAAGGAAAAAAGGAAGGAAGAAAAGCCAUGAGAUUGUGUGCCUGUCACUGCACAGGGAAGCUUGAGGGGAACGUCCUCCCUGCCCCUCCCCGCCACCCCUCCUGCCCCGUGUCUGGGCUCCGCCGUGCGCAGGCGCUGGCGACGGCCCACGUUCCAUGGCUCUGCCAUUUGCUCAGUGGGGGGACGUUGUCUUAGCUGAGCAGUGCACGGCUCUGCCUGAGGGAUUGAGAACAUAUUGCUUGGCAGGUGGGCCUGCUCAGAUGCACUGACUGUUGUUUCAGCACUGACAGUGAACAUACAUCACGCAGGCCCAUUAUGCCAGCAUAAAUCCAUGGUAACCUGUUCAAAGGGCUGCACCCAGCAAACAAAGUGUUUGGGUCUUAAUAGGUGAUAUUUUUGAAACGUGUAAUUGGGAUCUGAGAAGUAAUUCUGGGUGACAGGCCACUCCUUCUGCCGUCGUAGCAGAAGCUGGGCCUACGGCAAAAUACCACUCCUGUCACACCGCACAAAGAUGCGUGCCAUUCCAGCUCGGCUCCAGGCAGCUGUGCACGGC
rnacentral:lncRNA from 1 species